rnacentral:rRNA from 1 species
GUAGGGUGCAAGCGUUAUCCGGAAUCAUUGGGCGUAAAGAGCUCGUAGGCGGUUCAGCAAGUCGGCUGUGAAAUCCGAGGCUUAACCUCGGAACUGCAGUCGAUACUGCUGUGACUAGAGUCCGGUAGAGGAGAAUGGAAUUCCCGGUGUAGCGGUGAAAUGCGCAGAUAUCGGGAGGAACACCAGUAGCGAAGGCGGUUCUCUGGGCCGGUACUGACGCUGAGGAGCGAAAGCGUGGGGUAGCAAACAGGAUUAGAUACCCUGGUAGUCCACGCCGUAAACGUUGGACACUAGGUGUGGCGUUCCGACCAACGGGUGCCGUGCCGAAGCUAACGCAUUAAGUGUCCCCGCCUGGGGAGUACGGCCGCAAGGCUA